rnacentral:lncRNA from 1 species
AAAUAAUCGAGCUUCAAAUUUUAAAAUCCACAGAAUUGCUGUUUUGAGCAGCAGUUAUUUAUUUUUUCUAAGACAUUAGAAUAAAAAAUAUUUGUCUGUGAUUCCUGUAAAUUACCUGUCGUGUGCAUAACAAAGUGUGAGCACCCUGGGUCAAAGCAUAAAGGUGAGAGUCUAGAUUGAUGAGUCAAACUUUCUGGGCUCAGAGACCACUUUGCGAGUAUAAUGGAAACAAUGCAUUCUCUCUAGAUACUCAUGUGUGCACAAGCACAGACACUCACACGUGUUAUUUUGCAUGUUAUUUCAGAAUGGAAGGACCCAGAUGUUACUGGAUGAAAGGUCAAGUCACCUGCUAUAGGAGUAGGCAGGUUGCAUUAACAACUCCACUCAGAGGCCACUCUGCCUUCCUCAAAAGGCCAGAAGAAGGGCAGACGGAAGGAAGGAAGAAAGAAAAGAAGCAAAGAAGGAUGGAUGGACAUGCGGAAGAAUGUGGCUGCUGCUUUAAAUGUACCACUGUUAAGCUCCAAACACGGUAGCCAAGAGCUCAUGUUAAAUGACCUGAUUCCAGUUUCCUCUUCCUCAAAACCUUGCUCUCAGAUGGGAACCAGCUCGUUCAUGCUAGCCUACCUCAGGCCCGUUAUACUUCAGUAUUUCUUCAGGUUUGAUCCAGGGACCACCUGCAGCUGAAACACAUGGGUGCUUGUUAACAAUGCAAAUUGCUAGGCUCUACCAACUGAAUCAUAAUUUCUAGAAGUGGAAAAUCUAAAUAAACAUUUUAAAUAAGUUU